GACGUAGGGCGCGAGCGUUGUCCGGAUUUAUUGGGCGUAAAGAGCUCGUAGGCGGCUUGUCGCGUCGACUGUGAAAUCCCGCGGCUCAACUGCGGGUCUGCAGUCGAUACGGGCAGGCUAGAGUUCGGUAGGGGAGACUGGAAUUCCUGGUGUAGCGGUGAAAUGCGCAGAUAUCAGGAGGAACACCAGCGGCGAAGGCGGCGCUCUGGGCCGGUACUGACACUGAGGGAGCGAAAGCGUGGGUAGCAAACAGG
rnacentral:rRNA from 1 species